rnacentral:rRNA from 1 species
GAUGAACGCUGGCGGCGUGCCUAAUACAUGCAAGUCGAGCGAACGGACGAGAAGCUUUCUUCGCUGAUGUUAGCGGCGGACGGGUGAUUAAUACGUGGAUAACCUACCUAUAAGACUGGGAUAACUUCGGGAAACCGGAUCUAAUACCGGAUGAUAUUUUGAACCGCAUGGUUCAAAAGUGAAAGACGGUCUUGCUGUCACUUAUAGAUGGAUCCGCGCUGCAUUAGCUAGUUGGUAAGGUAACGGCUUACCAAGGCAACGAUGCAUAGCCGACCUGAGAGGGUGAUCGGCCACACUGGAACUGAGACACGGUCCAGACUCCUACGGGAGGCAGCAGUAGGGAAUCUUCCGCAAUGGGCGAAAGCCUGACGGAGCAACGCCGCGUGAGUGAUGAAGGUCUUCGGAUCGUAAAACUCUGUUAUUAGGGAGGAACAUAAGUGUAAGUAACUGUGCCCAUCUUGACGGUACCUAAUCAGAAAGCCACGGCUAACUACGUG